rnacentral:misc_RNA from 1 species
AUGGGUUUGUGAGAAAUCUUCUUAUUUGUUUGACUUUUUAAAAUACAGCAAAAGUACACAUUCCAACUUGCACCUUCUUCUUCUUCCUCUUCAAAUAUCUGCUAGCCUCAAACCGUUACAGCAAAAGCCUAGCGACUAGCGAGUUGCGACCCACGAUUCGUAUCGCUGAUCUCUCCCAUUCUGUAUUGUUCUCUCUCUGUUCUCAACCAGGUAACUAGAGCAACAAUUCUCCCCUAUUACCCUAAUCACUCGUCCUUCUUCUCCUCCUUCAUUUCACCCACCUGUGCUUCACAAAUUCCACUGAAAUUGGAAAUUGGUGGUUUGGCUGAAUUGGAUUGAUUUGGGGAAAUAAAGCUAUUUGAAUAAAGAAAUGCAUCAGAAUAGACUGUAGGAGGUGUAAAGGGAAUCAUAUCCAAAUCAAAUCAAGCUUUGAUUAGCAGAAUUCUGAAUUAUUUUCUAGAAUAUCAUGGAAGACAUAAGUAAGGUUGGCCGAAUUGGGGAAAGAGGCCUCAAACUUCAUGAGUUAAAUGGGAUAGUAGACCAGACUACUAGUCCAAUAAGAAAAGAAAUAGUUAACAGGUCAUCUUUUGCAAUGAAGUCUCAUGAAAAUGAUGAAAUUGACUUGGAAGAUGGAAAGUUGGAAAAGGACAGAGACAAAACAGCACGUAGUAAUAGAGUCAUUAAAAUACAAAAUCAAGCCUUAUUAUCUGGCCUUGCAUAUUGCAUUUCCUCCUGCAGUAUGAUACUGGUGAACAAGUUUGUCCUUUCCAGCUAUGAUUUUAAUGCUGGGAUAUCUUUGAUGCUGUACCAGGUAAUUUCAUUUAGUUAUAAGUGGUUUGAGUUUUGGCAAGAUUUUAUGUACAACACAACAACAGCCAAGCCGUAAUCCCAAACUAGUUGGGUGUUGGCUAUAUCAUCCAUUUUUGGUAAGAUUUUAUAUAAUUAAAAUUUUACUUAAUGUCUUUGAAUUUAAAGUUUUGAAAAUAUAUUCUGAUAUAUCUAACAAGUGGAUGAAAAUUUCUAUUUUUGGAUACAGAAUCUUAUCUCAGUGAUUAUUGUGUCGGUCUUGAGUUUUCUGGGCAUAAUAUCGACUGAACCACUAACCUGGCGAUUGAUUAAGGUCUGGUUGCCAGUGAAUGUUAUAUUUGUUGGAAUGCUCAUUACAAGCAUGUUUAGGUAUGAUAUUUUUGUCUGUUUUUGUGUUCUUUAUCAGAUCUUGUACUGCCUUACAUAAAACUUAUGUGGUGUUUUUAACAUUAAUAAAUACUUCAAAUUUGAUUUUUGGUCCUUUCCACAGUUUGAAAUACAUUAAUAUCGCGAUGGUCACAGUCCUGAAGAAUGUUACUAAUGUGAUAACUGCCCUUGGCGAAAUGUAUCUUUUUAGUAAGCACCAUGACAGCAGAGUAUGGACUGCUCUAUUCUUAAUGGUAUAUCCAAUUGUGACAUUAUUUUCAUCAUCAUCAACAUUAUAGGAGAGAAUUUUGUCAAUAUAAAUUUGGUAAUAGUGGCCAUUGUCAUUUUGGUUGUGGUAAUGGUGCUCUUUUUUUUUCACUUCUUAUUGUGGUUGUUGCUAUUAUUAUUAUUGCUAAGAAUGCUUUGCUUGAUAUGGAUAUAUUUUGUAGAUUGGUAAAAAAAUUUUUAUUAAGUUUGAGAAAAAUGUUUUGCUUUGCCUUGCACAGAUCAUUUCAGCAAUUUCAGGAGGGAUUACUGAUAUGUCUUUUCAUGCUGUUGGCUAUGCAUGGCAGUUCAUCAACUGUUUUCUAACAGCUUCUUAUUCUCUGACCCUACGCAGGGUCAUGGAUACAGCAAAACAAGUCACCAGAUCUGGAAACUUGAACGAGUUUUCAAUGGUUUUGUUAAAUAAUACCCUAUCACUGGCUUUGGGAAUUAUUCUUAUUUAUGUUUUCAAUGAGGUGGAAUAUCUCUCCAAAACGUGGGUUUUCUCCUUUUUUGUGUUUCCCCUUUUCUUUGCUUAACUACUGGUCUGUACUUCUAUUUUAGAAAGCUAAGGUUUGAAUUUUGUUGAUGCAUAUGAGGUUUGCUUAAUUUACUGACAAGAUAUAUGGAUUGGAUGUCCUUAACUACUCCUAUGAUCUGAAAUUGCUAGUCUUUUGAAAUUCAAAUGUCCUUACUAGGAGCAGCUAACUACUUUUGUUGAAUUUUUUUAUUUAUUCCCUCCUUGCAAUAUUUAUUAUUCCCUGUUGCUGUUCCUAUAUAAUCCCAUGGCCUAAUCUCAAGAACUCCAUUAAAUUAGUAAUCAAUUACAUAUCUUUUUGUUUCUCUUUUCAUAAUUGUAGAUUUCAUGGACAUAGGUGAGAGGUGCAUGAAGAUUGCAUAUCUCCCCAAUUUUACAAGCUUUCUUGAUUUAAAUUCUUUGUUUCUUGUCAUAAAAUGUUUGUUUUAUAGAAGCUUAUGAGGCCUGAAAUUAACUUGGCAGACCACUCUUGAGGUUACCUGUCUUCUGGCUGGUAAUGACGUUUAGUGGAUUUUUAGGUCUGGCAAUCAGCUUCACUUCUAUGUGGUUUCUUCAUCAAACAGGGGCUACCACAUACAGCCUUGUGGGAUCACUGAAUAAGAUCCCCCUCUCAAUUGCUAGCAUCCUUCUAUUCAAAGUACCUACCAAUUUGGAAAACUCAGCAAGCAUUUUCUUUGGCUUACUGGCGGGAGUGUUUUUUGCGAAAGCCAAAAUGCAGGAAAGAUCUUAGUCCUGACUAUCCUGACUUUCUAUUAACUGUGGUAUACAUGAAAAACGUGUGCACUUGGAUGAACUGUCUGGUCACUGUAUACUUGAUAGCAAUGGCAAAUUGGUUGAACAGUUACUAUUGACAAGGG